rnacentral:rRNA from 1 species
CCUACGGGUGGCAGCAGUGAGGAAUAUUGGUCAAUGGACGAGAGUCUGAACCAGCCAAGUAGCGUGAAGGAUGACUGCCCUAUGGGUUGUAAACUUCUUUUAUAUGGGAAUAAAACGUUCCACGUGUGGGAUUUUGUAUGUACCAUAUGAAUAAGGAUCGGCUAACUCCGUGCCAGCAGCCGCGGUAAUACGGAGGAUCCGAGCGUUAUCCGGAUUUAUUGGGUUUAAAGGGAGCGUAGGUGGAUUGUUAAGUCAGUUGUGAAAGUUUGCGGCUCAACCGUAAAAUUGCAGUUGAAACUGGCAGUCUUGAGUACAGUAGAGGUGGGCGGAAUUCGUGGUGUAGCGGUGAAAUGCUUAGAUAACACGAAGAACUCCGAUUGCGAAGGCAGUUCACUGGACUGCAACUGACACUGAGGCUCGAAAGUGUGGGUAUCAAACAGGAUUAGAUACCCCAGUAGUC